CGUGGAGGUCCGAACCCACGAGCGUUGAAAAGCUCGGGGAUGACUUGUGGGUAGCGGUGAAAUUCCAAUCGAGCCCGGAGAUAGCUGGUUCUCCCCGAAAUAGCUUUAGGGCUAGCCUCAAGGUGAGAGAUACGGAGGUAGAGCACUGAAUGUCCUAGGGGGUAUUGCACCUACCGAAGACUAUCAAACUCCGAAUGCCGUCAUCUUAUACUUGGGAGUCAGACUGUGGGUGAUAAGAUUCAUAGUCGAAAGGGCAACAGCCCAGAUCGUCAGCUAAGGUCCCUAAAUGUAAGUUAAGUGGUAAAGGAUGUGGGAUUGCACAGACAACCAGGAUGUUGGCUUAGAAGCAGCCACUCAUUCAAAGAGUGCGUAAUAGCUCACUGGUCGAGUGAUCCUGCGCCGAAGAUUUCCGGGGCUAAAACUUACUACCGAAGCUACGGCAUCAGUAAUGAUGGGUAGGGGAGCU
rnacentral:rRNA from 1 species